GCAAGUCGAACGGUUGUAGCAAUACAGCAGUGGCAGACGGGUGAGUAACACGUGGGAACCUUCCUAGGGGUACGGAACAACUCAGGGAAACUUGAGCUAAUACCGUAUACGUCCGUGAGGAGAAAGAUUUAUCGCCCUUAGACGGGCCCGCGUCGGAUUAGCUAGUUGGUGGGGUAACGGCCUACCAAGGCGACGAUCCGUAGCUGAUCUUAGAGGAUGAUCAGCCACACUGGGACUGAGACACGGCCCAGACUCCUACGGGAGGCAGCAGUGGGGAAUCUUGGACAAUGGGCGCAAGCCUGAUCCAGCCAUGCCGCGUGAGUGAAGAAGGUCUUCGGAUUGUAAAGCUCUUUUGCCAGGGACGAUAAUGACGGUACCUGGAGAAUAAGCCCCGGCAAACUUCGUGCCAGCAGCCGCGGUAAUACGAAGGGGGCUAGCGUUGUUCGGAAUUACUGGGCGUAAAGCGCACGUAGGCGGGUCGUUAAGUCAGGGGUGAAAUCCCGGAGCUCAACCCCGGAACUGCCUUUGAUACUGGCGAUCUUGAGAUCGGAAGAGGUGAGUGGAAUUCCCAGUGUAGAGGUGAAAUUCGUAGAUAUUGGGAAGAACACCAGUGGCGAAGGCGGCUCACUGGUCCGAUACUGACGCUGAGGUGCGAAAGCG
rnacentral:rRNA from 1 species